rnacentral:rRNA from 1 species
AUUGAACGCUGGCGGCAUGCUUUACACAUGCAAGUCGAACGGUAACAGGUUAAGCUGACGAGUGGCGAACGGGUGAGUAAUGCAUCGGAACGUGCCCGGUCGUGGGGGAUAACGCAGCGAAAGCUGCGCUAAUACCGCAUACGAUCUGAGGAUGAAAGCGGGGGACCGUAAGGCCUCGCGCGAUCGGAGCGGCCGAUGUCAGAUUAGGUAGUUGGUGGGGUAAAGGCUCACCAAGCCGACGAUCUGUAGCUGGUCUGAGAGGACGACCAGCCACACUGGGGCUGAGACACGGCCCAGACUCCUACGGGAGGCAGCAGUGGGGAAUUUUGGACAAUGGGCGCAAGCCUGAUCCAGCAAUGCCGCGUGCAGGAAGAAGGCCUUCGGGUUGUAAACUGCUUUUGUACGGAGCGAAAAGGCUCUCUCUAAUACAGGGGGCUCAUGGCGGUACCGUAAGAAUAAGCACCGGCUAACUACGUGCCAGCCGCCGCGGUAACAC